UGCCCAGCAACUCCUAUCCCUACCUCCUCGUGGUACCGGCCGGAAACUACGAGCAACCUUCGGGAAGAUAGGG
rfam:Aedes albopictus isolate Foshan contig23446, whole genome shotgun sequence.